GGACAACCCGGCAUUCUGAAGGAAUGUCAUCCAACCAGGUUGGAGGCUAACGCAGGGAACUGAAACAUCUUAGUACCUGCAGGAAAAGAAAAUAAUAAUGAUUCCCCAAGUAGUGGCGAGCGAACGGGGAUUAGCCCAAACCAAUGUUGUUACGGCAAUAUUGGGGUUGUAGGACCACGAUGUCGCAAGAACUUUAGUGAGAAGAAUUCUUUGGAAAAUGAAACCAUAGACGGUGAUAGUCCGGUAUUCGAAGCUAAACGAAGCGUAGUGGUAUCCUGAGUAGCGCGGGACACGAGGAAUCUUGCGUGAAUCAGCCGGGACCAUCCGGUAAGGCUAAAUACUCCCGAGAGACCGAUAGCGAACCAGUACUGUGAAGGAAAGGUGAAAAGCACUUCGAAUAGAAGAGAGAAAUAGUCCCUGAAACCGUGCGCCUACAAGCGGUCGGAGCAGCUUCAGCUGUGACGGCGUGCCUUUUGCAUAAUGAACCUACGAGUUACUUUUUCCGGCAAGGUUAAGCAUUUCAAAAUGUGUAGCCGAAGCGAAAGCGAGUCUGAACAGGGCGAUUAGUCGGAAGGAGUAGACGCGAAACCAAGUGAUCUACCCUUGGUCAGGUUGAAGGUUAGGUAACACUAACUGGAGGACCGAACCGAUAAGCGUUGAAAAGCUUCCGGAUGAACUGAGGGUGGGGGUGAAAGGCUAAUCAAACUUGGAGAUAGCUCGUACUCCCCGAAAUGCAUUUAGGUGCAGCCUUGGGAAUUACUACUGUGAGGUAGAGCGACUGAUAAGAUGCGAGGGCUUCACCGCCUAUCAAGUCUUGAUAAACUCCGAAUGCGCAGUAGUUCGAUCCCAGGAGUGAGGGCAUGGGUGCUAAGGUCCAUGUCCUAAAGGAGAAGAAUCCGGACCAUCAGCUAAGGUCCCGAAAUAAUUGCUAAGUUGAACUAACGAAGUCAGAUUGCUAAGACAGCUAGGAUGUUGGCUUGGAAGCAGCCAUUCAUUUAAAGAGUGCGUAACAGCUCACUAGUCGAGGAGUUUGGCGUGGAUAAUAAUCGGGCAUUAAGCAAUUUACCGAAGCUAUGGGAUCAGUAAUGAUCGGUAGGGGAGCAUUCCACUCUGCGUCGAAGGUGAAGCGUGAGCUUUGCUGGAGCGUGUGGAAAAGCAAAUGUAGGUAUAAGUAACGAUAAAGGGGGUGAGAAACCCCCUCGCCGAAAGACUAAGGUUUCCUGAUCAACGCUAAUCGGAUCAGGGUUAGUCGGGUCCUAAGGCUCAGCCGAACGGUGAGGCCGAUGGCAGAACAGGUUAAUAUUCCUGUACUACCUUAAGGAGUGACGUGGAGACGGAGCAGUGAUAGCGCCGCGGACUGACGGAAUAGUCCGUUGAAGGGUGUAGAUGUUGAUCUUUGCAGGCAAAUCCACAAAGAGAGUCGAACCUGAUAGUAUGGAACGUUCUUCGGAACAAUCCAAUAGUGCGUGUAAGCAUACUCCCAAGAAAAUCCGCUAAACUUAAUCUUUAAGGUACCCGUACCGCAAACGGACACACGUAGUCGGGUUGAAUAUACUAAGGCGCUUGAGUGAUUCACGGUUAAGGAACUAGGCAAAUUGACCCUGUAACUUCGGGAUAAAGGGUCCCAACGAGAGUUGGGCGCAGAGAAUAGGUCCAGGCAACUGUUUAACAAAAACACAGGGCUGUGCCAAAUUGAAAGAUUACGUAUACAGCCUGACACCUGCCCGGUGCUGGAAGGUUAAGAGGAGAUGUCAUCGCAAGAGAAGCAUUGAAUUGAAGCCCCAGUAAACGGCGGCCGUAACUAUAACGGUCCUAAGGUAGCGAAAUUCCUUGUCGGGUAAGUUCCGACCUGCACGAAUGGUGUAAUGAUCUGGACACUGUCUCAACCGUGAGCUCAGUGAAAUUGUAGUAUCGGUGAAGAUGCCGAUUACCCGCGAUGGGACGAAAAGACCCCGUGAACCUUUACUAUAGCUUAACAUUGAAUUUGGGUAAUUGAUGUGUAGGAUAGG
rnacentral:rRNA from 1 species